UACGAGGGGGGCAACUGUUGUUCGGAAUCACUGGGCGUAAAGGGAGCGUAGGCGGGUUCUUAAGUUAGGUGUUUAAUCCCGGGGCCCAACCCCGGACCGGCACUUAAAACUGGGAAGCUUGAAUAGUGGAGAGGUCGGUGGAAUUGGAGGUGUAGCGGUGGAAUGCGUAGAGAUCUCCAAGAACACCAGUUGCGAAGGCGGCCGACUGGACACAUAUUGACGCUGAGGCUCGAAAGCAUGGGGAGCAAACAGG
rnacentral:rRNA from 1 species